rnacentral:lncRNA from 1 species
UCCCAACGCAUCUUGAGUGGAUCCAACCCCCUAACCCUUGAAAUGAUGAUUGCUUUGUUUGUUAUGUUGACGCUGGUUACUUAUUAAACCCCCACAAGGCAAAAUCCCUAAAUGGUUAUGUCUUUACCGUUAGGGAUAUUGCAAUAUCUUGGAGGUCCACGAUAUGACCUUAGUUGCGAAAUCUUCGAAUCGUUCCAAGACUCACCUUACUUCAAUACGCUACAAGUAAGACAUGGUUAUG